rnacentral:rRNA from 1 species
GUACCCCUACGGGACGCAGCAGUGGGGAAUAUUGCGCAAUGGGCGAAAGCCUGACGCAGCGACGCCGCGUGAGGGAUGAAGGUCUUCGGAUCGUAAACCUCUGUCAGCAGGGAAGAACGGUCACUGUGCUAAUCAGCAGUGAAUUGACGGUACCUGCAAAGGAAGCACCGGCUAACUCCGUGCCAGCAGCCGCGGUAAUACGGAGGGUGCGAGCGUUAAUCGGAAUUACUGGGCGUAAAGCGCUCGUAGGCGGUAUGUCAAGUCAAGGGGGAAAUCCCCGCGCUCACCG